rnacentral:tRNA from 1 species
AAAGACUUAGGAUUAAUCCAGACCAAAGGCCUUCAAAGCCUUAAGCAGAUGUUAAAUCAUCUAGUCUUUG